rnacentral:rRNA from 1 species
UACGGAGGGUGCAAGCGUUAUCCGGAUUUAUUGGGCUUAAAGGGCGCGUAGGAGGGUAGGUAAGUCAGUGGUGAAAUCCCCGAGCUUAACUUGGGAACUGCCGUUGAUACUAUCUGUCUUGAAUAUUGUGGAGGUGAGCGGAAUAUGUCAUGUAGCGGUGAAAUGCUUAGAUAUGACAUAGAACACCGAUUGCGAAGGCAGCUAGCUAGACCGACAUUGACGCUGAGGCACGAAAGCGUGGGGAUCAAACAGG